UAUUAUCAUUUCUUUUCAUCCCCUCUUUUCAAACUCUUUUUACCUUAUUCUCUAUAUAAAAAAUUCAAAACAAAUUUAGACGUGGGAAACAUCAGGAUUGCUAAGACUCAUCUUCUUCGCUUCGCCAAGCGAAAGGUCAAUUCCAGUAACCGUUGGAAAGGGGUCUGAUUCUUUCGAAAAGAGAAGCUCGACGACUCCAACUUCCGAUUUACCACCUACGAGAUCUUCAUCGCCGCCUGCCGCACAUCCAUCGAUGGAAAUGUAUGAUUCUCGACGACUUGACAUUCACACCCACCGCCGAUGAUUCGCCGACUCCGUUAGCCCACGCUGCAGACUGCGCUCGUCUGCUUCCACGGCUGCCCACAAGAUGAAGAAGGUAGGGGUUCAAAUCGCCGGGCUCCAGCUCCAAGAAGAGUGGGUCGGUCAGGUCUGGGUCCUGGGAAGCCUAAAGGGGCUAUGACGGUGGGUGAGCUGAUGAGGAUUCAAAUGGGAAUUUCAGAGAAUCGAAUCUGUAAGAUGAUGAACGUUCAGUAGAACACUCGGUGACAUAUGAAGAACUGCAGCAGUGGCUUCCUCGUAAACUUGAUGAGUUUCGGGCUGGUCGAUUUACAGAGAAAUGUUGUCCUUGGAGGUUAAGCAAUUGAAACAAUGCAUUUUUUUUCAGACUAUCAAUUUGAACAAUCGAUUGAAUGGAUUGUGUUUGUGAAGUUCCGGUGUUCAUAUGGCAUUUUGUUGAGUGAGUGCGACAGAUGGAUUGAGAAGUAAAAAUAUAAAAUAAAAUUUAAAUUAGUUUUUUUAGUAAAAAAAAAAUAUUUUAGUUUAGGACAUAUAUGGUGCGUUUGUUGCACCGGACUAUCUCGAACUGAACUAGCAUCAAGGAUUAAGCU
rnacentral:sRNA from 1 species